rnacentral:rRNA from 1 species
UGAGUAAUGUCUGGGAAACUGCCUGAUGGAGGGGGAUAACUACUGGAAACGGUAGCUAAUACCGCAUAACGUCGCAAGACCGAAGAGGGGGACCUUCGGGCCUCUUGCCAUCAGAUGUGCCCAGAUGGGAUUAGCUAGUAGGUGGGGUAAUGGCUCACCUAGGCGACGAUCCCUAGCUGGUCUGAGAGGAUGACCAGCCACACUGGAACUGAGACACGGUCCAGACUCCUACGGGAGGCAGCAGUGGGGAAUAUUGCACAAUGGGCGCAAGCCUGAUGCAGCCAUGCCGCGUGUGUGAAGAAGGCCUUCGGGUUGUAAAGCACUUUCAGCGAGGAGGAAGGUGGUGAGCUUAAUACGCUCAUCAAUUGACGUUACUCGCAGAAGAAGCACCGGCUAACUCCGUGCCAGCAGCCGCGGUAAUACGGAGGGUGCAAGCGUUAAUCGGAAUUACUGGGCGUAAAGCGCACGCAGGCGGUUUGUUAAGUCAGAUGUGAAAUCCCCGGG